CCACAACCCCCUCUCCUCUAUCGCCGCCCCUCUCUCUCUCUCUCUCUCUCAACCCAUCCAAAACCAAUCUCUCCCUUUCUCUCUCUGAAAAAAAUGGCAGGAACCGGAGUUGUGGCUGUCUACGGCAAUGGAACAAUAACAGAAACCAAAAAAUCCCCAUUCUCCGUUAAGGUAGGCCUAGCUCAAAUGCUCAGAGGCGGGGUCAUAAUGGACGUGGUCACCGCUGAACAAGCCCGUAUAGCCGAAGAAGCCGGAGCUUGCGCCGUCAUGGCAUUAGAACGAGUCCCCGCCGACAUCCGUGCACAAGGUGGUGUGGCACGCAUGAGCGACCCUCAGCUCAUCAAAGAAAUAAAACAAGCAGUGACCAUCCCUGUCAUGGCGAAAGCCCGAAUCGGGCAUUUCGUCGAAGCCCAAAUCCUUGAAGCGAUUGGUGUCGAUUAUGUUGACGAAUCUGAGGUUCUUACACUGGCUGAUGAAGAUAAUCACAUUAACAAACAUAACUUCCGCAUCCCUUUUGUUUGCGGAUGCCGGAAUUUGGGUGAGGCCUUGAGGAGGAUAAGGGAAGGGGCGGCAAUGAUUAGGACUAAAGGCGAGGCGGGCACCGGGAACGUUAUUGAAGCUGUUAGGCAUGUUAGGUCUGUGAUGGGGGAUAUAAGGAUGUUGAGAAAUAUGGAUGAUGAUGAGGUUUUUACAUUUGCAAAGAAGAUUGCUGCGCCUUAUGAUUUGGUUAUGCAGACAAAGCAGCUUGGGAGGUUGCCUGUUGUGCAAUUCGCGGCGGGUGGAGUGGCUACUCCUGCUGAUGCAGCGUUGAUGAUGCAGUUGGGAUGCGAUGGGGUGUUUGUAGGGUCUGGGGUUUUUAAGAGUGGGGAUCCGGUUAAGAGGGGGAGAGCUAUCGUGCAGGCUGUUACCCAUUAUAGUGAUCCUGAGCUGCUGGCUGAGGUGAGUUGUGGGCUUGGUGAGGCUAUGGUCGGGCUUAAUUUGAAUGAUAAGAAGGUGGAGAGGUUUGCUAGUCGGUCGGAUUAGGAGGGGGGGUUUGGUGGUUUGUUGGGGGUGGCUCAAGAUAAACGCCAAUGAUUGAUAUCUGUGGACAUGCUGCUGUUUUCUAUUGAAGAUUUGUUCCCUUGUCAAUUUUAAGAAAGUUAAAACCCGGAGUCUUCUCUUAUAUAGCGGUGUUCAAGUCAUCCAAAAGCAGUCCACAAGCACUUGGCUACUUUGUGUAUAAUAUUUGCUGAGUGCGGAUCUUUUCAAUUACUUUUACCUUUUCUUUUCAUCCGAUACCAGGAGCACCAGAGACAAUCCAAUAAAUGUCCCUUUCCUUGUUAGACUAUUUAUUCAUGGUUUAAUUCAACUUUUAAGGCUCCAAGAUCUUGUUUGAUCUUGAAGGUUGAUUUUUUAA